rnacentral:rRNA from 1 species
CUGAUGAGUUGUUGCUGGUUCUCUAGGGAGCAUGUGCACACUUGUCAUCUUUAUAUCUCCACCUGUGCACCUUUUGUAGAUCUGGAUAGCUUUCUGAAUGCCUAGCAUUUGGGUUUGAAGAUUGACUUUUCUGUCUUUCUUUACAUUUUCAGGUCUAUGUUCCUCCAUAUACCCCAAUGUAUGUUAUAGAAUGUAAUAAAUGGGCCUUUGUGCCUAUAAAUUUAUACAACUUUCAGCAACGGAUCUCUUGGUUCUCGCAUCGAUGAAGAACGCAGCGAAAUGCGAUAAGUAAUGUGAAUUGCAGAAUUCAGUGAAUCAUCGAAUCUUUGAACGCACCUUGCGCUCCUUGGUAUUCCGAGGAGCAUGCCUGUUUGAGUGUCAUUAAUAUAUCAACCUCUUCAGCUUUGCUUGUUGAGUGUUGGAUGUGGGGGGGUAUUCUUUUGCUGGUCUCUUUUUUUGAGUUCAGCUCCCCUAAAAUAUAUUAGCGGGACAAUUUGUUGACCGUUCAUUGGUGUGAUAACUAUCUACGCUUUUGACGUGAGGCAGAGUUCAGCUCAUAACAGUCCAUUGACUUGGACAAAUUUUUCAUUAAUGUGACCUCAAAUCAGGUAGGACUACCCGCUGAACUUAAGCAUAUC